GACGAACGCUGGCGGCGUGCCUAAUACAUGCAAGUUGAGCGCUGAAGGUUGGUACUUGUACCAACUGGAUGAGCAGCGAACGGGUGAGUAACGCGUGGGGAAUCUGCCUUUGAGCGGGGGACAACAUUUGGAAACGAAUGCUAAUACCGCAUAAAAACUUUAAACACAAGUUUUAAGUUUGAAAGAUGCAAUUGCAUCACUCAAAGAUGAUCCCGCGUUGUAUUAGCUAGUUGGUGAGGUAAAGGCUCACCAAGGCGAUGAUACAUAGCCGACCUGAGAGGGUGAUCGGCCACAUUGGGACUGAGACACGGCCCAAACUCCUACGGGAGGCAGCAGUAGGGAAUCUUCGGCAAUGGACGAAAGUCUGACCGAGCAACGCCGCGUGAGUGAAGAAGGUUUUCGGAUCGUAAACCUCUGUUGGUAGAGAAGAACGUUGGUGAGAGUGGAAAGCUCAUCAAGUGACGGUAACUACCCAGAAAGGGACGGCUAACUACGUG
rnacentral:rRNA from 1 species